UCCUCCGUUACCUUUGCUAAGCCAUGACUUGUACAAUUCUCUUAUUGCACUCUUUACCUCUGAAACUCGUAUAUGUUUGAGCAUAUCAAUCCGGUGGUUAGAUAGAAGCUCAAUCGUAGUUAUCUUGCGAAUCUCACGCCAAUAAGGUCCAUAAGGAGCAAACCCGAACAUAGCAAAAUCAUAGCCUAGAAUCUUUGAAGCAGUAAUGCUUGGUCUAGUGGAGAAAACUUUAUCAUGGACAGUGAAACAUUCUUUGGCCAUUUCCCAACUAUUUAAAACCAACACUUCGUGUGAUCCUAGCCUUAAGGAGAAGACAGGUCCGUAUUUGUCAGCCAUGCCACCUAAGGUUUUGUGUGUGAGCUGCUGACCACCAAAGAGGUGCAUGUGACCAAUGAUAGGUAAAGCACCACCGGCUUGUGGAGCACUACAGCUUCUGCUUGGUUUCUUUGAAGACUGAUAAAAGUAUAUGCAACUGAAAAGGGCAAAAAGGGUGCAACAUAUGCUAAAGAGGUACUGCAGGAGAGGAUCCAUUAGAAGAUUCAGAUGAGCUUUGGCAGAGGUGGGUGUUGCAGAACAGACUUUGUAAUUACAAAUCUAAAGCUUCUUUCUGAGAAGCUGUGUUUCCUGAGUCUUCCCAGGGCUGUCGUUCUCCUUAGAAGGAUAAGAGGAAAUGACUUUUAGUAAUAGGAUAUGUUAAACAAUGAAGAAAAUACUUAUGUGUCGCCAAGUCCGUAAUAGUGGCGAUUUUCUUUCUGUGAAUUUGUCAUUUUAAACUAGUGAUGGAAGUGAAGAUCAUAUUUUAGUAAUUUUCUUGUCUUCAAAUAUGACUUCGAAUAUCUUUGCUAUUAAAUAACAUGCCACUUGCUCAUAAAUCACAACGAAGAACGCUAUAAAUAAUUUCUUCAAUUAUCCUUGUACUUUCAUAUCCAUUUAAAGGCAAACAAAAGAAAAAAAAAAGUGGAGAGGAGAAAUAGAAGGAACAAAAAAAUGUUAAAGAAAAAGCUCGCUUGGAUUUCGUACAACUAAAAAGGUUUCUCAUGCAUAUUAGUAGGUCUGUUACUAUUUCACUACAUUAAUUGUUUUUCAAAUUUCUAAUCCAAUAAACUUUACUACUGAUUUCAACAGAAGUUUGCGUUCAAUUAACAAAUUUUUAAAAUUUAAAAUUAGUCUUUAUAUUUUAAUGUUGAGAGGAUGAGUCACUCUACUUCUUUUAAUUUAAAAAUCUUAGUCCAUCUAAUUUUGCUGCUAAAGUAAACAAUAUCAAAAGUAAAAUAAUUUUUUUAGUCCUUAACAUUCACAAUUUUUUAUCAAUUUGAUCCUUACCCUUUAAAUGUACAUAAAAUUUUUUUCCUCAUAUUUUAAAUAAAAACAUAAAAAUUUAAAGAUUGUAAUUCUUUUAAAACUAAAAUAAUUAUGAAAUAUAAAAACCCUUUAAAAUUCAAAAAAAUAAAAAUAAAAAGUAAUUUUAAAAAUAUAAAAAAAUCAAAAUUCAAUGUUAUCUAAACUAGUCUACUGAGAGGUAAAAAAAUCAAUUGGCCCACAAACCUGUACAGACUACUUGAACUAAUCUAAAAACUCGGUUGAACCGAUUUUUAACUUGUUUGACCAAUUGGUUCCCAUAAUGAUUGGCCCAACUGGUCCAAAUUAAAAAAAUAAAAAAAUACUAAAAAAGGUACAAUUGUUAGUUCAAUUGAUUUUUUAGCCCAAUUCAACUAGUCCAUAUUGGUUUGUGGGUUAAUCGGAUUUUCUAAAAUUUGUAAGCUUUUUUAACCCUUAAAAGUUAUAGUUUUUUGUCAAUUUGGUCCAUACCCUUUAAAAGUACAUAAUUUUUUUUCUUAUUUUAAACAAAAAACAUAAAAAUAUGAAAAAUAAAAACUUUUUAAAAAUACAAAAUAAAAAGAUUAAAAAAAUAUUGUAAAUAUAUAAAAUUUUUCCAAAAUUCAAUUUUAUCUGAAUUAGACCAAACUGAUUGGCUCAAGAACCAACUGAGGUAUCAAUUCGAUGAGAGGUAAAAAUUUGGUCAACCCACGAAUCAAUACAGAUUAGUUGAACUGGGCUAAAAAACCAAUUGAACUAGUAGUUGAACUGAUUUUAUAAUUUUUAAUUUAUUUUUAAUAAUUUAUUUGCUUUAAACCAGUUUGACCAAUCGUUUUGGGAACCAAUUGGUUAGAGUAGUUCAAAAUCAGUUCAAUUGCUAGUUCAAUUGAUUUUUUAGUUUAAUUUUGUAACCUCUCAAACUUGGCCUAACUGUUAAACCCAAAUUCGAAAGAUUAUAUUAGCUACCGAAAUGGCCUAGUAAGCUAUCAAAGUUUUAUAAAACGGUCAUUUUAAAAAUGUUUGUUUAUCUUUAGACAAAAAUUUAGUUUAUUUUCAGAAGAAAAUAAAAACCAAUUAAUUUAACAUUAUUCUCGUAACGGUGUAACACCCCUAACCUGUAUCCAACGCCAGAACAGGGUUGCGGAGCAUUACAGAACUUAUACCUCAAUCAUUCAAACAUUUCAUGUACAAUUCUCAUUCAAAUCAAAAACCAUUCAUAAGGUCCCUAAUACGAGCCCUCGAGGCCCAAAAUAAACAUUAAAAACAGUUCGGGACUAAACCGGGUACUCAAGAAAUUUUUAGGAAAACACUAAAAUUUUUCAAAGUACAAGGGACACAUGCCCGUGUGACCAGGUCGUGUGUUUCACACGGCCAAGAGACACGCCCAUGUCUCAGGCCGUGUGGGCAUUCGAAAUGGGGAUACACAGUUGUGUCCCAGCUCGUGUCCGACCCCGUGUAACUCACUAACUUUGGUCGCAAGGCCAAUCUACACGCUUGUGUGCACGGCCGCGUACCCUUCGAAAUGACCUCACAUGCCCGUGUGCCAGGCCGUGUUCUAAGCAGUGUGAAAACUGGUGGGUAUACUAACUUGCGCCACAUGGCCAAGCCACACGCCCGUGUGCUAGGCUGUGUUAAGCUAUUGACUUGGUUUCUAAAGAAGUAUCAAGGGGCACACGGUUGUGUCACCUGGCCGUGUCUCACACACGGCUGAGACACACGCCCGUGUGGAUAAAAAUAGGCCAUUUUCCAAGCCACAUUUCUCACCCAAAUUGGUACCAAACUAACCACAACCAUAUGCAUACAACCAUGGCAUAAUUAGGCAUUCAAACCAACCAAUAUCAAGCUUGAAUCAUGUAAUAUCCACACACACAACACAAUGACCAUAAGUACUUCGAUUGACCACUUGUUAUCAUGCAAACUAUAUAUAUCUCAAACAUGCCUAUAUGAUCAAACACAUACAUGCAUCAUUGUGCCUAUAACUUAACAUGUAUGCCAUUUAUCAAAACCAACCAUUUGGUAUUCAAAACACCAUUUUACAACCAAGUCAUUCACAUGACAACCAUAUAUCAAAUACCAUAAUGCUAAUUACAUAUUUACACUACAAAAUAAACCAAAUUCAAGCCAAUCAAAUGGCUAAAACACAACAAAACAUGUAGCCUAUCAUUAGCUAAAAUAACUUAUACAUGCCAUAAUAACAAAAAUUAUAAAACCAUAAGCACCAAAAUAACCGAUAGAUAAUGUGAUGAAAUCUCCGACAAUUUCCAACCCGAAUGAGCUUCCGAUAUCUAGGUACACAAAGAAAUUAACACAAAGUAAGCAUCUAAUGCUUAGUAAGUUCGUAACUCAAAAAGAAAGUUUACCACUUCAAUUUAUAAUCAUAAUCCAUUAAGUCAAUCUAACAUGUCUUGGCUUUAGCCUAAACAACAAUAACCUCUCAAUGUUAAAUAUCACAAUAACUAGCCAAUUUAUUUCAAAAUAUCAUGACAUAAGUACACACUACUUAUGUGCAUUUAUAAUUUAAACAUAUGGCUAAACAUAUAUCAAUCAUCCAAAUUAACCAUGUAUUCAUAUAAAAACCAUGAAUCAUGUAUGAAAUCAACAAUUAUCAAAUUUCAUGUACAUGUAGCAUCUAUACCGUAUAUCCGUAUAUCGUGUACGAACCAUUUCCAUGUAAAUACCUGUACUAGUUCGUAUUGAAAUUGUAUAACCUCGUAUCAUCACUGUACCAGUUGAACCACUUGGAAUACUAUAGGAUACUCGGGUAUCUCGCACACUAAGUGCCAAUACGUGGUCAAAACCACCUCUAUCACACAUCUCAUAUCGAUGCUCACUCUCGAGCCAUAACUGGGUCUGCUCACACAAGCUGUUAGUCAAGACGUAGCUACACGGUGCUGCUCACACCAGCUGUAAAGUAACCGCAACACAUGCCAAAAACUCAACCACUGGUAGGAUGUACGAAACUAGCACCCAAAACACGGUAACCCCUAAUGACAUGUCAUUUGUAUCUUAUCGAUUCCUAAGGUUCAACCGGGAUAUCUACGUCGUCGAUACUUCGUCGAACAUUUCCCUGGAGUUGUAUCUUCACAAUUAUAAUAAUAGAGCAUUUAAAACACAUAUAAUUUAGUGCUUAUUAGCAUAUGAACUUACCUCAAACUCGUACGAUAGAAAACGAUCGUUUAAUCGAUAACUUUGUCUUUCCCUCGAUCUAAUUUCGUACGUCAUUUUUCUUGAUCUAUAUAAUAAAAUUUAACUCAUUUAAUCAUUAUUCAAUUCAAUUCAAUUCAAUCUAAUUUCAUGUUAUGGAAAAAUUAUCAUUUUUCCCCUAAACAUUUGACUUCUUUAUAAUUUAGUCCCUAGGCUCGUAAAAUGAAAUUCAUGUAAUUUCACUACACCCAAGCCUAGCCAAAUUUUAUAUGUGCUUAUAGUAGCCCAUAUAUUCCACAAAUUCACACAUUUAACACAUCAUUCUCAUGUUUCUCAAUUAAACCCCUAAUUAACAAUUUCAUCAAAAUUCACUCAGCAAAAGUUGUUUAUUUAACAACAAGGAUUCAUUUUCUUCCAUUAAACUUCAAGAACAAUUAAAAUUCUCUCAUGGAAAAACCCUAGACUUUCAAUCAUAUCGCAAAGUAGUCCCCUAUUUAGCUAGAUUAUGCUACAACGAUUAUGAAAACAUAAAAAUCAUCAAAAACGGGCUUAAAAUUCACUUACAUGCAAGAGAUUUAUUAACCAAAAGUUUCAAGCUCCCAAAGCCUUCCUUUUUGCUGGAAAUUUUGGUUGGGGAAGAUGAAUAAAGUUGGUAUCUUUAAUUUUUUUUGUUUAUUUUUUCUUUAUUUGCCUUUUUCCCAAAUUACCCAUACCUAACGUUAAUAAUUUCAUAUUUACCAAGCCAUGCACAUCCACUGACUCAUUUAAUGGUCUAAUUACCAUAUAAGGACCUCCACUUUAAAGUUCUAUAGCUGUUUAAUUCCUUUAGCUAAUAGAACACAACUUUCGCACUUUACGCGAUUUAGUUAUUUUUCACAAAUUGAGCAUGUAAACAUUAAAAUUUUUUAACUAAAAUUUUAUUCUAUCAUAUUAUCAUGCUGUAGAAAUUGAAAUAAUAUUAAAAUAAAUUUUUUACUUUAGAUUUGUGAUCUCGAAACCACUGUUCUAAUUUCACUGAAAACAGGUUGUUACAACUCUUCCCCCUUAGGAAUUUUCGUCUCCGAAAAUAUUACUAGAAAAUAGGUUAGGGUAUUGUUUUCUCAUGGUUUCAUUGGGUUCCCAAGUAACCUCCUCAAUCCCAUGACGUUGCCAAAGAACCUUCAUUAAUGCUAUACUUUUGUUGCAUAACUCUUUAAAUCUCUCGUGUCAAAAUUUUGAUCGGUUCUUCGUUAUACGACAUGUCGACUAAAUCUCAACAUCUGUUGGAGAAAUUAUAUAUGAAGGGUCUGAUCAAUAUGCUACUGGCCCUAUUCUCUCAUUAAUCUCAUACAACCUGAUAAAUCUCGGACUCAACUUCCAUUUACGACCAAAUUGAAAAAAAUCCUCUUCCAAGGCAAUACUUUCAAAAACACUCUGUCGUCGAUCUGAAAUUAAAUAUCUUUACCUUUCAAAUCUGCAUAUGAUUUCUGUCGAUCUGAAGCUGCUUUCAAACUUUCACGAAUCACUUUCACUUUCUCGAUAGUCUCUCUAAUCAAAUGAACCCCGUGUAUCUUUUUCUCACUGAGCUCGGUCCAGUAUGACAGAGUUUGACAUUUAUGAACAUAUAAAGCUUCAUACGAUGCCAUCUUUAUACUCAACUAAAAACUAUUAUUAUACGCGAAUUCGAUCAAUGGUAAAUAUUUUUCCCAAUUAACGAAGCAUAUUGUCAAGAAUCUAAAUCACUCUCUCGGGUUGACCAUCAGUUUGAGGGUGAAAUGCAGUGCUAAAUGCAGCCGCAUACCCAAAGCUUCUUGUAACUUCUUCUAGAAUCACGAUGUGAACCUCGGAUCUCUAUCCAAAAUAAUGGAGACUGGUACUCCGUAUAAUUUGACAAUCUCGGAAAUAUAUAACUCAGUUAAUCUGUCAAGUGAGAAAUCUAUACUUACCGAAAUAAAAUGUGCAGAUUUCAUCAAACAGUCAACAACAACCCAUACAUCAUAUUUCUUUUUCGGUGAUAAGGAUAACCCCGAUACAAUAUCCAUCGUAACUUUAUCCCAUUGCUACUCCGGAAUCAUCACUAGUUGUAACAGUUCUGAAGGCACUUGAUGUUCGACUUUGACCUGUUGGCAAAUGCAUCUGGACACAAAGUCAGAUAUCUUACGUUUCAUACCUGACCACUAGUACAUCUGUCUCAAGUCACUGUACAUUUUAUUACUCUCCGGAUAAACUAACAAGUUACCACUAUGAGUUUCAUGCAAAAUUUUCAGUACAAGCUUUAGAUUCUUUGGUACACAAAUUCUACCUCGGAACAAUAGCAACCAUCGGGUCUGACCUGAAAUUCAGAAUCAGAAGUCGAGUCACACUGUACUAGUUUAACUUGCAAUUCAUUAUCACUUUUCUGAGCUUUGCAGACCUGUUGUAGAAACAUCGAUUUAGCUUUUAACUCAGCUAAGAUCGAGCCAUCAUCAUACAAUGUCAAUUGUGCAUUCAUCACUCGCAAACAAACAAAGAUUUUUCUACUUAUAGCAUCCAUAACUACAUUUGCUUUUCCCGGAUGAUAAUCAAUAACUAACUCAUAAUCUUUCAAUAGUUUGAGCCAUCUAUGCUAUCUCAGAUUCAGAUCUUUCUGUGACAUCAGAUACCUUAAACUCUUGUGAUUGAUAAAUAUGUGACACUUUUCAUCGACAAAUGGUGUCACCAAAUUUUCAAUGCAAACACAAUAGCGACCAACUUUAAGUCGCGUGUCGGAUAAUUCUUUUCAUGUGGCUGUAACUGUCUGGAAGCAUAAUCUAUCACUUUUCCUUCUUGUAUUAAAACACAUUCCAAUCUGUUCAAUGACGCAUUACUGAAAAUCACGAAUUCUUUACCCAAUUCAGGUUGAACCAGAACUAGUACUUCGGUUAACAAUGCUUUCAACUGUUUAAAACUUUGCUAACAUGUAUCAGACCAUUCAAACUUCACAAGUGCGAUAACUUUAUCAAUCAGAACAAUUUUAACUCAUAAUAACAUCUUUCGAUUAGAACUAAUCUAAUAGAUAUGUUUUUUUAUCAUGUUUUCUAGAACAUGAAUUCUUUAUUCAAACUGUCUUUUUAUUUACCCGUGAAUGCACAAAAUUUAUUUCCAUACCUGAGGAUAAACUUAAAUGCAUAUAACUCAAAGUACUUUUCAACUGAAUAACCCGCUCUGGUUAAAACAACUGAGUCGAUCUUAACUAUCAAAUAAUAACAUUUCAAAGUAAUCCCUUCUUCAUGUUGUACAAACAACUCAAACUUACUAUAUUUCAUAAUUCCCUCAAAAUGCUAGUCAAAGAUCUUUACCUACUGCAUUAGCUCAAACGAAACAUAACAUCUCUAUUUAACUCAUUGACCUUAAUUAAGGUUACCUAAGGAAUGAAAACCAAUAUACAAAUUUGAGCUUGAUCUUCCACCGUCUACACUUUUGCCGAUGUCAACCCUUUCACGAAAACUCGAAAAACCUAAGAUCAGUAUCACCAUUCUCUCAUGAUCAAACUAGAAAUUAUAUCCAUAAUAGAUAUACUUAUCUUCGGCUAAUGAAUAUCCUUUACAAAUGAGUCAUGUUUGAUAACUUAACCAAUAAGAAUGAUGGGAGAACCGAGAUAAUGAAAUCCAAGAUGUGAAGCUAUACUGGAUUUUCGAGAACACAUCCCAUAUUGAAUGAUAAAGAUCUUGUUGAUUCCUCAGAGAAAAAUCCAGAAGAAAAACACCGCUCAUACUCAUUGGAAUUCAAUUGUGAUAAAGACUAUAAUUUCCAUAUAUAUAAAGCAGAGUAACAACCAGUAGAAACAGAAUAAUAGCAUCAUAUGAAUUUUACCGUCGAAUUUUCUACUGAACAUAAUGGAAUAGAAUGCCAAAGAAAAAUAGAGCAAUGCCGAUCAUAAACCAACCAGACUAUCAAUGCUUCCGACUAACAUUAUGGUCAGCUAGCAUUCUGAAAUGAUAAGAAUUACAUCUAAAAAUGAACAACUAUAUAUACCUCUGAGAAUAAUUGAACACUUAGAAUACCUAGAAGAGAUCGUCAUAUUCUACUCAACUAUAAUUGUUGCUCUCAGAUAUCUUUACAAUUAAAGCAUUAUUCCACUGACUAUUAUAGUCAUCAAUAAUCCCACAUUAUUCCAUUCAUUAACGAAAUCAAAUUAGAAGAAAUUCUGAUUAAUACCUUCUUUAGAUAUCAUAUCUGGAUAAGUCGAUUAGUCAAGAUUAAUUUCUUAUUUAAUAGCGACAUUGCGUAAUCCGAAUGAUCUUCAGAAAAAUCUGAUAUCUCUUCUAAAACUGUCUUUACUUGCUAACCCAUUCUCAGCCCUAACCGCAUUAUUAAUCCUUUAGCUACUGAACUGUUUAGUUUCACACUUGUGAGCUUAUUCAAUCUAAAUCUUAUGAAUUUCGUUCUAUAACACUAUACUGGUGAGGGGGUGAAGAUUGUAAAGCCUCAAAAUUUGAAUCUCAUAUAUACACACAUAUAACAUAACAUUUAUCAACAACAUAAUGUUAUGAACUUCCAUUCAUACCUUUAUGAGUCUCGACUCAUCAUAACCAACAUUUUUACUCAGAUGCUUGAGUAUCGUUUUCAGCAUUAUCAGAAAUAGCUCAGUUGGAAAACAUCUCUAUCUAAGUAAAAAAAAUCUCAUCAGAGUUGGGAGAUAUCAUACUAUCACAGGUUAUAUAAUAGUAUGUAUUUCUAGACUUCACACAUGCUACGUUCGGUCUGAGAAUCGACUAAAUCGUAGCUCUGAUACUAAUAAAUGUAACACCACUAACCUGUAUCGAAGCCAGAAUAGGGUUGCGGAGCAUUACAUGACUUAUACCUCAAUCAUUCAAACAUUUCAUAUACAAUUCUCAUUCAAAUAAAAAAAAAUUCAUAAGGUCCUCAAUACAAGCUCUCGAGGCCCAAAAUAAAGAUUAAAACUGGUUUGGGACUAAACCAGGUAAUUAAGAAAGUUUUAGAAAAAUAUUGAAGAUUUUCAAAGUACAAGAGACACACCUCCGUGUGGCCAGGCCGUGUGUUUAAUACAUCCAAGAGACACACCCAUGUCUCAGGCAGUGUGGGCAUUCGAAAUGGGAACAUAGGUCAUGUCCCUGCCCGUGUCUCACCCUGUGUAACUCACUAACUUGGGUCACCUGGUCAACCCCCAUGCCCGUGUGCCAGGCCAUGUGCUAGACCGUGUGAAAACUGAUGGGUAUACUAACUUGCGCCACACGGCCAAGCCACACGCCCGUGUGCAAGGCCGUGUUAAGCUAUUGACUUGGUUUCUAAAGAAGUAUCAAGGGGCACACGGUUGUGUCACCUGGCCGUGUGUCACACACGGUUGAGACACACGCCCGUGUGGAUAAAAAUAGGCCAUUUUCCAAGCCACAUUUCUCACCCAAAUUGGUACCAAACUAACCACAACCAUAUGCAUACAACCAUGGCAUAAUUAGGCAUUCACACCAACCAAUAUCAAGCUUGAAUCAUUUAAUAUCCACACAGACAACACAAUGACCAUAAGUACUUCAAUUGACCACUUGUUAUCAUGCAAACUAUAUAUAUCUCAAACAUGCCUAUAUGAUCAAACACAUACAUGCAUCAUUGUGCUUAUAACUUAACAUGUAUGCCAUUUAUCAAAAUCAACCAUUUGGUAUUCAAAACACCAUUUUACAACCAAGUCAUUCACAUGAAAACCAUAUAUCAAAUACCAUAAUGCUAAUUACAUAUUUACACUACAAAAUAUACCAAAUUCAAGCCAAUCAAAUGGCUAAAACACAACAAAACAUAUAGCCUAUCAUUAGCUAAAAUAACUUAUACAUGCCAUAAUAACCAAAAUUAUAAAACCAUAAGCACCAAAAUAGCCGAUAGAUAAUGUGAUGAAAUCUCCGACAAUUUCCAACCCGAAUGAGCUUCCGAUAUCUAGGUACACAAAGAAAUUAACACAAAGUAAGCAUCUAAUGCUUAGUAAGUUCGUAACUCAAAAAGAAAGUUUACAACUUCAAUUUAUAAGCAUAAUCCAUUAAGUCAAUCCAACAUGUCUUGGCUUUAGCCUAAACAACAAUAACCUCUCAAUGUUAAAUAUCACAAUAAUUAGCCAAUUUAUUUCAAAAUAUCAUGACAUAAGUACACACUACUUAUGUGCAUUUAUAAUUUAAACAUAUGGCUAAACAUAUAUCAAUCAUCCAAAUUCACCAUGUAUUCAUAUAAAAACCAUGAAUCAUGUAUGAAAUCAACAAUUAUCAAAUUUCAUGUACAUGUAGCAUCUAUACCGUAUAUCCGUAUAUCGUGUACGAACCAUUUCUAUGUAAAUACCUGUACUAGUUCGUAUUGAAAUUGUAUAACCUCGUAUCAUCACUGUACUAGUUGAACCACUUGGAAUACUAUCGGAUACUCGGGUAUCUCGCACACUAAGUGCCAAUACAUGGUUAAAACCACCUCUAUCACACAUCUCAUAUCGAUGCUCACUCUCGAGCCAUAACUGGGUCUGCUCACACAAGCUGUUAGUCAAGACGUACCUUCACGGUGUUGCUCACACCAGCUGUAAAGUAACUGCAACACAUGCCAAAAACUCAGCCACUGGUAGGAUGUACGAAACUAGCACCCAAAACACGGUAACCCCUAAUGACAUGUCAUUUGUAUCCUAUCGAUUCCUAAGGUUCAACAGGGAUAUCUACGUUGUCGAUACUUCGUCGAACAUUUCCCUGGAGUUGUAUCUUCACAAUUAUAAUAAUAAAGCAUUUAAAACACAUAUAAUUUAGUGCUUAUUCGCAUAUGAACUUACCUCAAACUCGUACGAUAGAAAACGAUUGUUUAAUCGAUUACUUUGUCUUUCCCUCGAUCUAAUUCCGUAUGUCGUUUUUCUUGAUCUAUAUAAUAAAAUUUAACUCAUUUAAUCAUUAUUCAAUUCAAUUCAAUCUAAUUUCAUGUGAUGGAAAAAUUACCAUUUUACCCCUAUAUAUUUAACUUAUUUAUAAUUUAGUCCCUAGGUUCGUAAAAUAAAAGUCAUGCAAUUUCAUUAUACCCAAGCCUAGCCGAAUUUUAUAUGUGCUUAUAAUAGCCCAUAUAUUCCACAAAUUCACACAUUUAACACAUAAUUCUCAUGUUUCUCAUUUAAAACCCUAAUUAACAAUUUCAUCAAAAUUCACUUAACAAAAGUUGUUUAUUUAACAACAAGUGUAACAACCUAGUUUUAGUUAAACCGGAACAGUGGUUUUGGAACCAUAAAUCUGAGGUUUGAAAAUUAUUUUAAUAUUAUUUUUGGUAUUUACAGUAUGUGAUUAUAUGUGUGUGAAAGUUUCGUAAAAAAAAUUUACUAUUUGAAUGCUUAAUUCGGUAAAAAGGACUAAAUCGCGUAAAGCGUAAAAGUUGAGUUCUAAUAGCUAAAGGUAUUAAAUAGCUAUGGAAGUCUUUAUUUGGUAAAUAGCCCAUUUAAGAGAUUAUGGAUUGUGAUGGCUUGGAAUUUCUUGUAAUAAAUAAUGUUUAUAAAGGUUAGUUUUGUAAUUUAGUUAGUAAUGAUAUAAUAAGUUAAAAAAAAACAUUUAAAAAGGCUUUGAUAUUUAUUAUGUUCUUCAAAUGAAAAUAGAAGAAGAGAAAGCCAAGGAAGCUAGGUUAUUCGGCCAUCUUUAAGCCUUCAAUUAGAUCAAGAAAGAAAGAAAUCAGAUUUAGAUCGGGGGAAAUUGAAAGUUGACGAGUAGUUGAUCCGACCCGUUCGUUUCUGUAUGAGGUAAGUUCAUAAGUAAAUAAGUUUUGUUGAAUUUAAAUGUAUAUAUUUUAUACAUUAUCGAAUUGAUUUGAGCAUUAGAUGAUUGGUUUCGCGCAUGAAUUGAUUUAAUUACGAAGUCAAAAGCUUCGAAUGAACCUUAGUAAAUGUAUUGGAUAUUGAUGUCAUGAUAUUAGGAAUUCUGAUGUGUGAUUUCGUGUAAGACCAUAGCUGAGCUAUUGGCAUCGAUCUGAGAUUUUGUGUAAGACCAUAGCUGGGCUAUUGGCAUCGAUUUGAGAUUUCGUGUAAGACCAUACCUGGGCUAUUGGCAUCGAUUUGAGAUUUCGUGUAAGACCAUAGCUGGGCUAUUGGCAUCGAUUUGAGAUUUCGUGUAAGACCAUAGCUGGGCUAUUGACAUCGAUUUGAGAUUUUGUGUAAGACCAUAGCUGGGCUAUUGGCAUCGAUACGAGAUUUCUAUGUAAGACUAUGUCUGAGACAUGGCAUUGGUACGAUACAUUAUGUAUGAGUUUUCCCAAGUAUCCUUAGUGUUCCAAGUGGUUCGACGGGUAAUCCAAAGAUUAUGUCAAUGAAAAGACAAGGUAUGAUCAUGUUGAAAGGAUACAUGUAUGUACGAAAAAUUCAUGAGUAAUGAACUCGAUGUAUAUUGGACAUUUUGGAAAGAAUGUAAAUGAGUAAGUCAUACUUAUGAGAAUGAUCUUGUGAUAACCUUGUGAUUAUAAGUCUAUACUUAUGAGGUAUAAAUAUGUGGUAAAUUUGAUUGAUGAAUGUGUGAAACUUUUAGGCCAAAUUAAAUUGAGACAUGAUAUGUUUAAGUUUUUGUUGUUGAUGUAUAGGUAAAAUUGGGAAAUGAAUGACAUGUGAAUAUAUGAUAAUGAUUAGCUAUUGGAAUGACUAGUUAUGGAUAUGCUUUGGUGUUAUGUGUGUCGAAAUAAUUGUUAAUACAAAGAAAUCAUGAAUGAGUAAAAUUUGCAAUAAAAUAGUUUUGGACAGCAGCAGUUGUAUAACUUUGAAAAAUCACAAAAAAAUUGUGGGAAGAAACGGUGUAAGCAAAAGAAUCUCAUAUUAUGAGAUAUUUGAAUUUUUGUGAGAUAAGGUAAGAAUGAUUUCAGAAUCCCCUAUUCUGACUUUGGAAAAUCAUUAAAAAUUAUAUAAAAAAAUUAUGGGUUAGAAUUUAUAUGAUUAACAUUAUUAAUGAGUUUAUUUUCAAGAGAAACAAUCAGGAACAUCAUCUGAACCCCGUACUAAGAGAUAAUUAAUUUUUAGAGAAGAAAUGUCGGAACUAUUAGACAGCAAAACAUGGAUGAAUUUGAAGAAUUAACUGUACUUAUUGGCUAAACCAAAAAUUCUAAAAAUUUUAUGGUAAUAAGAUAUGUGAGUCUAGUUUUGGAAAAAUUAAGCAGAUCUUAAUUUGGAGUUCUGUAGAACCAGAUAUAAAUAAUUUAGUGACUAUGACUCGAGUAGACAACUUGAUGUGAACAUGAGUAAAUAGUGGAUCUAUGUGCAAUGAUUAUUGUAUUAUCUUGAGAACAAAUUGUGAGGAUUGGUAAAAGCAUAUUAACAGAUCUCUUAUUAUUUACAUACCAACUUGCUAAGCUAUAUAGCUUACCCCCUUUCUUUGAUUUCCCUAUAGUGUCACAGAUACUAGCUCGGGUUGGAGAUCGUCGAAGAUUCUAUCACACUAUCAAGCUAUUGAUCGGUAUCAACGUAUUCAAGCAUUUUAAGUUUAUGGAAUGUAUAGGGACUCAGUCAUUUUGUGUAUGAGUUAUUAUGUUUUGGCCAAAUGUUUUGGCUUGUAAUGGUUAAAGGUUUGAUUUAUGUGUAGCCGCAUAACUUGGCUUAUAUUGGCUAAUUGGUUGUAAGCCUAUAUAUAUGUUAAUUAUAUGUAAAAGUCUUGUGAUGUGAGUUGUGGGACCCUCAUUUGUUGAUGACAUCAUAAGUAGAGAGUUACACGGGUUGAGGACACGAGCGUGUCCCGAGCUACAUGGGCGUGUGACCCUCCAAAACAUAAAAAUUUUCUUAGUGUUCCAAAGUUUAUAGUUUAGUUCCGAACCACUUCCAGCGUAUGUUUAGAGCCUCGUAGGCCCUUAUAAGGGACGAUAUGCAUGUGUAUAAAUAGUUUUAAAUUGAAUGAAAUUUUAUGGCUCGAUUUUGUAUGGUUGCUUGUGUUUAAGACCGGUAAUGCCUCGUAUCCUGUCCCGGCGUCGGACACGAGUAAAGGGUGUUACAACAAGGGUUCAUUUUCUUCCAUUAAACUUCAAGAACAACUAAAAUUAUCUCAUGGAAAAACCCUAUACUUUCAAUCAUAUCGCAAAUUAGUCCCCUAUUUAGCUAGAUUAAGCUACAACUAUCCCGAAAACAUAAAAAUCAUCAAAAACGGGCUUAAAAAUCACUUACAUGCAAGAGAUUUAUUAACCAAAAGUUUCAAGCUCCCAAAGCGUUCCUUGUUACUGUAAAUUUCGGUUGCGGAAGAUGAAUAAAGAUGGUAGCUUUAAUUUUUUUGUUUAUUUGAUCUUUAUUUGCCUUUUUACCAAAUUACCCUUACCUAACUUUAAUAAUUUCAUAUUUACCAAGCCAUGCACAUCCACUAACUCAUUUAAUGGUCUAAUUACCAUAUAAGGAUCUCAUUUAAAGUUCUAUAGCUAUUUAAUACAUUUAGCUAUUAGAACACAACUUUCGCACUUUAUGCGAUUUAGUCCUUUUUCACAAAUUGAGCAUUUAAACGUUAAAAUUUCUUAACGAAAUUUUUACACUAUCACAUUAUCAUGUUGUAGAUAUUAAUAUAAUAUUAAAAUAAAAUUUUUUACUUCAGAUUUAUGGUCCCAAAACUACUAUUCUGAUUUCACUGAAAACGGACCGUUACAAACGGUGAGUACCUUUGAAACUUAGUUAAUUUAUUAUUUAAUUAUUACUCAAAAUUCAAUUAUAACCUAGCAGCGAAAAAAUGAUAUUUAUUCAGUUUUAAUAACAUAUAAAAAGUGAUAUUUAUUCAGUUUUAAUAACAUAUAUGUUUCGUGCAUAAUUAAUUUAAAACCCAUGUUUCAACAUUUAAAAAAAAACAAAUUAAAUGUCAUGCAUGGUAUAAUAAAAGAAAACCUUAAAUUUUUAAUCUCAUGCCACAAUUCAAAAAAUAGAGCAUUACAAUCUAUGAAUAAUAAAAAUAUCAAGUAAUAAACCUAAAGUGUUUUAAUAAAUCAAAAUCGAGCUGAGAUCUGUCGAAUGUCGUGUCCGUAUCUGUAGAGAUAGAAAUAAAGGGCGAGUGAGCUAUAAAGCUCAGUGUGAGUUCCAUCACAAGAGAAAUCAGUGCAGAUGUAUAAUAAACCAAGCAUUCAUAAUAACCGUUUUAAGUAUAGUAAUAAUCAUACAAUGUAAUAGAAUUUCUUACACUUAAUUCAAGCAUGCUUGUGCGUGCUGAUGUAAUGCAGUGCAAUUUUAGUUUAACAAUAAAAGGUCCUACCUCACUAUCGCACUCCACAGAAAGAGUUCUCCAAAACUCUUAUAUCCUAAAAACUCUGUUUUGUGGAUAAACCACCAGUGUUGCAGGUUAAUACACUGCCAUUAGUAGUGAGUAUACAAUGGGUUUGCAGAUAAAAGUUGCCAAUAAAAAUUAUGGAUAAACCACCAGUGUUUGCUGGUUAAUACGCUACCAGUAGUUGUAAAUACACAACGGGUUUACAGAUAAAAGUUUCCAAUAAGUUUGUGGACAAACCACCAGUGUUUGCAGAUAAACUACCAGUACUUCCUCCUUUCAAAGUGUCCCACCCCAUGCAAUGCAGUAUGAAAUGCUAAUAACAGUACAAUAUAGAAACAGUAGACAUGCUUAGCAUGUCGUCAGACUAACAGUAGUAGUAGACAUGUAUGACAUGUAUUUAGUUUAUCAGUAACAGUAGUCAUGCUGAUCAUGCAGUUGGAAACACAGUGGUACGAGUAACAAUACAAUAUUUAUCAAUGAUUCAAUUAUAGUAAACGUGUACAAAUUACAUAUCAUGCAUAUACAAGAACAAUUUAGUCAAUCAGAUCAUGGAUUCCAAUAUUAUUCAUAAUAUUAGAGACUCAAUUGAAUGAGAUAAAACACUAAAAACAAUUUAGAGACUAAACUAAACAAUUCACAAAAUUCUGGGCAAAACUAUAAAUAGGGGCACACGGUUUACAAAAUUAAGCUACAAGGGAGACUAGGCAGUGUUGCAGGUCGUGUGAAAAUAGGAGACAAGGGUUUUAGUGGCACAUGAUCGUGUGAGGGGCCCUGUGGUCCACACGCCUGUGUGGCUUGCCAUGUGACCCUAAUCCUAGGCACAAUAUGCCCCGAUUUGCUUGAAAAAGAACAAACACCUUUCACCAAGAGCUCAAAAGUUGUUCCUCGCGAUCAAGAAUGGUUCAAUUCAUCUAAAUUAGGUUAUUCAACGAAAAAUUUCACAUGUAUUAACAUUGGGUAUCAAGAUUCAGCGAUACUAAUGAAAGAUUUUGGCAAGAACUGUUAAAGAAUGUUUAAUUGAUUGCAAGAUUUUCCUUAGAUAUAAAUUUUAUAAGGAUUUGAGAUCAAACAUCAGGAUUGAGAUGUACAUAUUGAUUCUUGACAAUGGUUAAAGAAUGUUUCUAAUGGCGAUUACGAUUUUGGUUGAAAAACAACUUGAAUUGGAUUUGGAAAAGAAAGCGAAUUUAUAAUGCAAUUAGGAAUAUGGCUAAAUACCUAGGGUUUUCAACCUUUGAGGGGCUGUUUAGUAAUUUAACCUUAUUGUCGAAAAAAAGAAAUGGAAUUGGGUAAAUGGUGGCUCGAACUUGGGUAAGCAAAGGGGUGUGAAAUAUUAACUAUUGGAUUGCUACCCAUUCUUUUAAGUUUCUACUCCAAAUAAUAUUUAUUCCAAUGUGGUUUUUAUCUUAGUUUGCUGAAAUUAAAAAAAAAAAUAAGAGAAGAGUGGAUUGAACCUAGGACCUCUUAGGGAGUGCACUAGCUCCUUAACCAUUUAGCCUAGGUCAUUACUUCGUUAAUCAUUUCAAUUAACCCCCUAUAUUUUGGGGUGUGACAACUCUACCCUCGAAGAAAUUUCGUCCUCAAAAUUUACCUUAUUCAAAUAGAUAGGGAUAUUGUUGACGAAACACAUCCUCCGGUUCCCAUGUGGCCUCUUCUGUGCCAUGGUUUCGUCAUAGAACUUUGACAAGAGGAAUUCAUUUCCUUGUUAGAACCUUGACAUCAUAGUCUAGAAUUUUUAUGGGUUCUUCCUCAAAGGACAAUUCCGGUCCCAUUUCGAUCUUUUCAAUUGGUACAAUAUGGGAAAUGUCAGAUCGAUAUCGUCUUAACAUGGAGACAUGGAAAGCAUCGUGUAUAUGGUCUAUUUUAGGAGGUAAUUCUAAUUGAUAUGCAAUUGUACUGACUUCUUUAAGGAUUUUAUAAGGUCCUAUGAGCCUAGGACUUAACAUGCCAUUUCUUCCGAACCUUAACACUUUUCGCCAUAGGGACACUUUCAAGAAAAAUUGAUCUCUAACACUGUACUUAAUGUCUUUACAUCCCAAUACAUCUUUUUUCCUUUAGUAUGCAUGGCAUAAAGGCUAGCAUGCGCUUCUCGGAGUAUGGUUUGUCUUAAUUCCUUAUCAUUUGACACACAAUACCUUCCCCGAAAGUACAAAAUUCCAUCGUCAUCAAAAUCAUAUUCCUCAGAUUUUCCAUCUUCCACCUUCUUAAUACAUGGCAACAAAGACACGUCUAAAGGUUGUUUAGCCUUUAUCUCAUUGGCUAAGGUGAGUUUCAUUUGUAGCUUGAGUAGCGAGCCCCCAUCAUCCACGAAACUUAAUCUGGCAAACAUUGUUCUUAAAUCUAUUAUCUAUUUUCUAUUUAGAACGUCUGUUACAACAUUGGCUUUGAAGUAUUUGUCAUCUAUUUUCUACCUAGUCGCAUCCUUCAGUUUAUAUCUCAACCUUGGAUCUAUAUUUGGAAACACUGUUGCACCUAAAAAUUGGUCGAACAAUUCAUCAGUUCUAGGCAGAGGAUAUUUAUUUUUGACAGUUAGCUUAUUUAACUACUGAUAGUCUAUGCAGAGCCUUAAGGAACCAUAUUUCUUUUUCACAAACAGGACCAGAACUCCAAAUGGAGAAACAUUGGUUCUAAUAAACUUGCGAUCCAAAAGCUCAUGAAGUUGGAUUUUCAAUUAUUGUAACUCGGUAGGUGCUAUGCAAUAAAGAGCAAUGGACACUAGAGCAGUUUCUGGUAACAAUCGAUUCCAAAUUCCACUUCACGAUCUGGAGGUAACCCUGGUUACUCAUUAGUAAACACAUUUGGAAAUUCCCUAAUGAUUCAGAUGCUAGCUAAGGUAGAGCUAUUGACAUUCCUAUCCAUCACAUAGGUUAGAUAAGUCUUGCAUCCUUUUCAGAUCAACUUCUCAACGACCAUUACAAUUUCUCUACCCUCAACUGUUUUCAAGGUUACACUCUUAAAGGCAAAAUCUAGGUUAACUUGUUGUUGCACUAACCAAUCCAUACCCAGAAUUAAGUCAAACUCUCCAAAAAAUAACUCUAUAAGAUUUGUGGAAAACACUACCACUUGAACCUCCAAUGGACAUCUCCUAUAGAUUUUGUUUAAAAUAACUGAUUGUCCUAAAGGGCUUAUUAUAAUUACAUUAGUAGUGGUUUCCUUUACCCCAACAUCCAAUUUUUUAGACAUUUUACAUGCAACAUAUGAUUGGAUGGAUCCUAUGUCUAUUAGGGAAAAAUAUGGGACAAAAUGAAUGGUAAAAAUAUCUACAAUGACAUUGGAUGCAUCCUUCUCUUCACAACCCCUAACGACAUAAAAAGGGUGGGUUGUCUAGCCUUGGUUCGAUUUGCACCCAUUGCAACAACAUUUGCGGCCCUAUUUUGGUUUUGGCCCUUUGGAAGUAACUGGCUUGCUCUUCAAUUUUAGGCUUAAUUUUGGGCUGGAGCUUGCGCAUGUUUGGUUCAUCGAGGACAGUCCUUAAUCCUAUACUUAGUUGACCCACAACUGAAAUAAGCACCCAAUUUCUCCAACACUUGCCCAAAUGACGUUUUCCAUAGUGCUCACAGUUGGACGUCUUAUCCCCAGAUUUAGCCAUAGAACCCCUUGUUGCAGUUUACCCUCUCUUGUUUGUUUUAUAGGGUGAGCAAUUGAGGUAGUGGAACCAGAAUCCCUCUUGAUUGAGACCUUAAUCUUUUCUCAUUGUUCGUGAUUCACUUGCUUGAUUUUCUCAAUGAUUUUGGCUUUCUCCACUAAGGUCUCAAACACCUGUUCCUGGUUUAGAGCAGCCUAUAUCUUAAGGUCGAAUCGUAACCCAUUUUCAAAUCGUACACAUUUGUUUUGUUUUGUGGUGACCAUAUUUUAGGCAUAGUGAUUGAGUCCUGGAAACUCAGUCUCGUAUUCUGCCACCAUUUUAUCUCAUUAUUUUAGCACAAUAAACUUGAGCUUGUGGGCUUCCACACGUUUAGUGCCCACGUACUUGUUUUGGAAGGCCUCUUGGAAGUAUUCCCAAUUUAUGUAUCCCGGUUGCGUACCCUUUACCAUAGAUUACCACCAACGAUAGACCUCCUCCUUAAGCAAGGACACAGUGCUCUUCAACUUCUACUCUGGAGUAUAGUCCAAAUCAUCAAGAAUUCUCUCCGUCAACUCCAUCCAAUAUUUAGCCACAGUGGGAGUUGUUCCAGAAACACAUUUAAAUGUAUCAGCCUUAUUCGAUCGGAGUCUCUCUACAAGAGAUCCACGACUCCCUAAUCUAGUUUAGGCUCUAGCAACCAUUUUCAACACCCUCAGCAUUUCCUGUAUCAUGGGGUCAUCGCCAUUCUCAUAACCUUCGCCACCAUUGGUAGUGGAGUUCUCAACGUACUCCUCCUCAAAAAUUGGGUUCUCACCCUGAACAGUGGGUAGCUCUACAGGUGUAGCCUACACGGCCUACCCCUACUACGUCUACAUUGGGUAUUUGUUCUAUUUGCGAAAGUUUAAAAAAUAAAGUAUAUCUACAAUUUAAUGCAAAAGUUCAAGCAUUAGUCAUCCUUCUAGAUGUUCACAAUCUAAAUUUUACAAUUUAUCUAAAUUUUUAAUAGUAACUGAAGUGGGAAUGACAUCGAAGUCUCGAAUUUAAUUUCCUGCAAAAAAUAAAUUUUCUAAAAACUUGUGGUAUGGUUUUCCCAAGAUGCCUCUUUUUAAUGCAAGCAUACAAAUUCACUGAAAUUUCCUCAGUCCGAUUUAGAAAACCUAAGCUCUGAUACCACCAAAUGUAACCUCCCCAACUCGACCUCGACGUUAGACCCAAAUUUGAAAGAUUACAUUACCCACUGAAAUGGCUUAGCAAGUUGUUAGAAGUUUUGAAAACGGUCAUUUUAAAAAAUAUUUUUUUAUUUUAGAAGUAAAGCUUAGUCUAUUUUCAGAAAAACUUACCUAAAUUGAAAGAAAAACAAUUUAAAUUUACUAUCCUAAAUACAAAGCUUACGUUUGAAAGCCUUGUUUAUUACCGAUUUAUUUAAUACUCAAAUUCUAAUUAUAAUUUAGUAGCAAAAUAGUGAUAUACGUUUAUGAUUUUAUCAAAACUCAUGGGUUCAUGUAUAACUAUUUAAUAAUUAUAAUUAAAUAACCUAAAAUUGAAUUAAAUGUCAUGCAAGCUGUAAAUAAACUAAACCAUCAAACUUGAAGUCUCAUGCCACAGUUCAAAAUAAAAUAAUACAAUCUCCGAAUAAAAAUAAAAUAUCAAAUAGUAAAUCCAAAAUAUUAAAAAACCAAGUCGAGACCCUCCGGAUGCUGUGUCCAUGUUUUGCCCUAGUGGAUUAUCUGUAAUGAUGAAAAUUAAAGGGGGUGAGUUAUGAAGCACAAUAUGAGUUCCAUCACAAGAUAGUCUAUAACAGCCCGUCCGAUAGAGUCUCCGUAUUUGGUUACUAUUUGGGGAAUAGAUGGAAAAUUAAAGAUAUAUUUGAGUAAGUAAAAUAAUUUUCCUAGCUAAGUAGAGUAUUCUGAAUGAUUCACCAUUUGGCGAACUCCUAGUUUUGGCGAGCUCUAGGGUUGGUGGACUAUUCUAUUAGGUAUCUGCCCACCCCAGAUUCUUUGGGCGAACUCGUUAAGUUUGUAGCCAUUUAAAUUUGUUCAUUAUUUUAGUGAAUGAUGAUUUGGUUAGUCAUGUUGAGAUUUAGUUAGAACUGAACUAGACUACUGUAGAUGAUAAGACCAAAAACUUGUUAAGUGCACUUAAUCAAGGGAAUCAAGAGUGUUAGUGGAAUUAUCUAAUUUUUCCACUAAUCCUUGUCCCUAUUGCUUAAGUAUACAAGGAUAGCGGUGGUCUUUAUGAAUCACCUUUACGUCGUCUUCUUUUUCUCUCUUGAAUUUCUUUGAAAAUCUCUAAAAGACUUAAGUUUAGAAUAACUUCAUCAAAAAGAAAGUUCGCAGUGUUUAAUUAUCACCUAUGUUAGUACCAUCUUACUGGUAAUCACUGAUGAAGCUUUAGGUUAUUAUUGAAGUAAUUUAUGUGUUUAUCGUACUGUAUGCAUAGAUGUUAAAAUUGUUUGUUAGUAAGGAAACUUCUUGAUUAUGGAUUGUGUGUUAUCGAUACUUACGUGCAUGAUACGUUUUGAUAGAUUGAUGAUCUGAUAUGUAUAAUUAUCUUUCUUUUAACUUAAUAAGCUAACGAAGGUCCUAACGGUAAAGGUAAAUGACCUACUGUGUAAAUUUGUACUAGAGUUUCGGGUGAGUUCCUUUUUACUUCCAUAUGUUGUAAUUUACAUUUUUAUAUAAAUGAUGUAAGGUAAGUAAUAUUCCUUAGAAAUGUAUGAAUGGUGUAUGUGUUGGUAAUGGUCGUCCAGUGUAAUCAGUCUGAGUUUAGUCUGUCUGUGUUAUGAAAUAACAUCAUUUUUCAUGUGUAAGCUAGUACCAACAGUUUGUGAUAUGUGAGAUAUGAUCUGUGGUGAUAGAGAAGGGGAGAUAUGUUUGUAAAGUCUCUGGUAGGACAACUAUACUGCAAACAGAGCUGGCAGGUCAUGAUAAACAUGCUAUUAUGGAAGAAAUCAAUAUAAGGAGUUUAGGGGGAGUAUGUAUGUGAAUGAGACUGUAUGAUAUGCUUUGGCUUUGAAUUUUGGGUACGUGGCUGGCAUGAAGAUAGGUUGCUUUUGUAAUAUUAAGUUGGCGUACAAUAUCUGCCUAUGUGUUAUGUAAAUUGGUGUAUUAAGUCUAUCUGUGUUCUGUGAGCGCCUUUAGGCGUAAUGUGAUCAUUAUGUGAAACUCUUUCUGAAAGGUUUGAUAUUAUCGUAUGAAUUGGUGUGUAUGAUUUCUCUUUACUUUUGGGAACCCACUAAGUUCAUAUGAACUUACUGUGUUAUCUUUUCCUUCUCAGGCUUAUUGACUGAGGAAGACUUUCUACAGAAGGGACUACGCCAGAGAACUGUUGCUAUUGUGACUUGUAUGUUUGUCCCGUAUCAUGCAUGACUUCUUGGGGGUGGUGUGUAAAUGUAAUUUUGAAAAUGAUCUGUAUAACGAAUCACUAUUUUGACGAGACACUGUUUUAUGAGAACCUUAUCCAAUUUCAAUGCUUAGAUUUGAAUUAUUAUAUCUUGUUCAAUGAAGUUUAUUUGUUCAAGCUUCUAUGCCAAAUGGUUUGAACAUUAUUUUGUACUGCCAAUGAUGUUCAUUUAAACCUUUGAAUAAUAAUAGCUAUCAUAGGUUGUAUACUUAUAACUUCGUAAAAAAUUAAUAAAGCUUCAAUUGUAUGGUUUGUUUAAAAUUCUCUAAUUUAAGUUGUGACACAUCAUACUUAGAUCCAAUUAUCGGGUCGAGUUUGGCGUGUUACAUAAUCAGUGCAAUCGAUUAGCAUAUAAAAUCACAUCACAUAUACUAAUUCAGAAUAGAAGAUUCAGAAUAUCAUAUUAACAAAUUUAUAUCAUACACGCACACCCAUAUAUACCAUCUUAGAAAUCUCAGAAUUGUCUGCACAUACUUUGUGAAUGCAACACAUUUGUCAUAUUUAACAAAAAUGAUCCUACCCCACCACUACACACUAUAUUAAGAGUUUCCCAGAACUCAUCCACCCCUACACACUAGGUUGUGGAUAAACCACAUAAGUUGCAGGUUAAUACGCUGCCAGAUGAUUAUGAGUGCACAACAUAUUUGCAGAUAAGAGCUGCCAGAUGGGUGGGUGAACCACCAAUGUUGCAGGUUAAUACACUACCAGAUGGUUGUGAAUACAUAAUUUUUUUUGCAGAUAAAAUUUGCCACAUAGUUUGUGGGUAAACUGCCAGAGUUGUAGAUUAUUAAUCUGCUAGAACUUCCUCCUUUUCAAAGCGUCCCGCCCCAUGCAAUGCAAUAUGGAAUGUUUAUUGCAAAUAAAGAUAGAAACGAAUAAUAUGUUUAUAACGGAUCAAUGGGUUAGCAAUAAAUAUGCUCUCAAUUAAUCUCUACAGCAGAAAAAACAUGCUUAUCAUGGAUUCAGUAUAACGGUAAAAAUUAAGGUAUGUUAUACAUAUAAUCACAGUUCAUGCAUGUAUAUGAUAAUAAUUUAGUUAAUCAAUGUAUGGAUUCUAACAUUAUUCAUAUUAUCAGGGACUUAAUCGAUUAAAAUAAAAUACUAAAAGAGUUCGGGAAACAUUUAGGGACUAAACUAAACAAAACAUAAAAUUUUGGGCAAGAACUGUAAAAAUCUGAAAGUAGGGGAUACACGACCGUGUGACCAAUCCGUGUUAAAUGCCCUGGACCGUGUUGGGUUACACGGUUUUGUGGCUAGGUCGUGUAACAGACUGAUGUCGUGUGGAAAUUGCAAAAUUAAGGUAUAGGGGAUACACUACCAUGUAGCAGGCUGUGUAGAGGGUCUUAGGCCGUGUGAGAAUCGAAAUAUCUUAGGGUUUUAGGGGGCGUGGCCAUGUGAAGGGCCGUAUGGUCCACACGCCCGUGUGGCUGGCCGUGUGGCCCUAUCCUGAGGCACAAUUUACCCCGAUUCGCUUGUAAUGAAACACACACCUUUCACCGGGAUCUUAAAUGACGUCCUUCGCGUUCAACGAUCAAGAUUUGCCAUGAGUUUCAGCAAGAAAUCAUAAGAAAUUGAAUUAUCAAAUGAAAGAUUGGUGCCGGGACAAUGAUAUAUUAUAAGGUACGAAAUUCGAUUGACAAAACGAAAGCACUUACCGAUUCUUGGUGAAGUUAAGGAUGAAAUUAAUGGCGAUUCUCUAGAUGUAGUGAAAUUGAUUUGAUUCAGGAAACAAAAUAAUAAUCCACAGUAAUGGAAAGAAAAUAUUUGAAAAUAAGAGGAUGAAAAAGAAAAAUGAAAGAAAAAAUAGAGAGAAAAUAAAUAAAAUUUUGUUUUGGUUUGGAAAAGAAACAUGAAUACAAAUACAAUUAGUAAAAGGCUUAAAUACUUUAGAGUUUUCAAACUAUGAGAGGGAAAUGGGGGAGAUUAGCAUAGCUUGAACUUGGAAUUACAAGGGGAAAGAAGUGAUGAUUAACCAUUUGGGCUACUGCCCAUUCUUGUUAAGUUUUUACUUUAAAUAAUACAUAUUCUAAUGUGGUUUUCAUUCUAUGUUGCUGAAAAUGAAAAGAAAAGAAAUGAGGGAGGUAUGGAUAAAACCUAGGAUCAUUAGGGAGUGUACAAACUACUUAACCAUUUAGUCUAGGUCAUUACUUGGUUACUUAUUUCAUCUAACCCUAUAUAUUUUAAGGUGUUACAACCACUGUUCAAAAUUAAUCUAAAUAGAGAAUUAAAAUUUAGGUUGCGUUUGUUUCAUAGAAAAUGAUUUAUGAAAAAUGUUGUCUAUAUUUUCUUGAGUUUGUUUUAUGGAAAAUAAUUUGGUCAAUCGAAAAUGACUUACAAGUCAAUGAAAAGUAAGCACCUUUUCUUGUAAAUUGACUUACUCUUUUCAAAAGCACAAAUGUUUGGCUAGAGGGUCUUAAAAGCCCCUAAACUUUUCAAAAAAAAAAUCAAUCAAGUCCCUAAUUUUUUUGUACUCAAUUGAGCUUUUGAACGUUAGAAUUGCAAUCAAUUAAGCCCUUUAACUGAUAAAGUUAACCAUCAACGUUAGAAACCACACGUAAACCUUUUUUUUAGGCUAUUUUUGCCACAUAGCAUGCUAGGAUUGUGCCACGUGGCAAAAAUAGGUAUUAUAUAUAAAAUCAAUAAAAAUAAUAAAAAUAUAGAAAAUCAUAAAAAGAUAUAUAAAAAUUAUAAACAAAUAUUAAAGUGCAAAAAGAAUUAUGAAACAUAGAAUAUUAUAAAAUUAUUAUAAAUGAAAAAGUUACAUAUUUUUUAAAAAAUAUAAAAAUAUAUUAAAAUUUUUAACAUAAUAAAAAUUUUAAAAAUUUUAAAAAUUAUAUAAAUUAUGAAAAAUUGUAAAAAUUAUGUAAAAUAUUUAAAAUAUAGAAAAAUAUUAAAAAAUAUAGAAAAGUGAAAACUAUAUAAAAUAUAGAAAAUUAUGAAAAAUAUUAUUUCAAGUUAUUCAAAAAAUAAUAUAAAAUUAAAAAAUAUAAAAAUGUUUACAAUUUUAUAUAUAGAUAACCUCAAUUAUCACUUGCUUUCUCAACCCAUUUUCCCACCUUAGUUUACAUCUCAAAACACUCCAUUGUUAACAAAGUUGAACAAAGAGGGUGCAAGCUCUGUAGUGGUUUGUAGGUUAAUCGACCCGAAAUAACAUUAACCAAAUUAACCGAUCUUUCAAAAUUUUUAACUGUUAACUGAACUGAAAUUUUUUCAAAAAAAUUAACCGAACCGAAUUUUUUUCGGUUAAUUCGGUCAGUUAACCAAAUUAACUGAAAAUUAUAUAUUUUUUUAUUUUUGGUUAAAAAUUACCCGAAUUAACCGAAUUACCCGAAUUAACCGAAUUGAAUCACUACAUAAAUAAAAACAUUACAUAAGUCUUUGAAUCACUACAUAAUUAAAAACAUUACAUAAGUCUUGAAAUUAACACAUAAUUGAAAUGUAAGUCUUUAAUAUUCUCUAUUUGUAUCCAUUUCUUCUCUCCAAAAGAUCUCCAUUUGCAUUAAACCUACAAAAAAAAAACAUGUGCCUAUUUAUAUAUUAUUUUUAUUUUUAAAUUAUUUUCAUUUUUAUUUAUUAAAUUAUUUGUAAUUUUUAUGAUUGAGUUGGGUUGGGUAAUUGGGUUGGGUAAUUGGGUUUGGAUUGGAUUUAGGUGAAUAGUGGGCCUAUUUAUAUAUUAUAAUUUUAUUUAUUAAUUUUUUCGGUUAAACCGAAAAAAUUUGGUUAAUUGGCUGGUUUUGAACCGAAUUAACUGUUAACCAAAAAAUUAAAAAAUAAUUAACCGACCCCCGACCGAAAAAAUUCGGUUAACUGACCGAUUAACCGAAUUCGGUCGGUUAACUGAAUUUUUUCAGUUUUACCCAAAUUUUGCACACCUCUAGUAGUUUGCUAUGGAUGAACACAACAGAUAACUUUAAGGAUCGAGCAAAUAUUUUGUAAUUUUCAUAAGUGUUGUAAUGUUAAGGAUGGUUAGUGUGGAUAUGAAAAAAGAGUUUUUUUAAAAUAUUUUUUUAUCCUUCUUAUAAUAUGUUAUAAUAUAUAUUUUAAAUUUUUUUAUUAAUUUUUAAAUAUUUUUAAUAAUUUUCCACAUUUUAAAAUCAUAAUUUUUAAUAUAUUUAUAAUUUUUCAUAAUUUAUAAUUUUAUAUUUUAUAAUUUAAAAUUUUAAUUAUUUUAAAAUUUAUAUUACUUUCUUACUUUAUAAUGAUUUUAUAAUAUUCUAUAUUUUAAUAAAUUUUUUCACUUUACUGUUUUAUAUUUUAAAAUAUUUUUAUAAUUGUAAUAUAUUUUUUUUACUAUUUUCUAUAUUUUUAUGAUUUUUUAUAAUCUUUAUUGAUUUUUAAUAAUUAUAUAUAUAAUUAUAUAUAUAUAUAUAAAAUACCAAUUAUCGCCAAGUGGCACAAUCUUCGUGUGCCACGGGACAAAAACAACUUGAAAAAAAGCAUGCUGUUUGCUUUUGUAAUGUUGGCCAAAGUGUUUUUUUUGUAAUUCCAUAAAUAAAUUAGGACCUCAUUAAUGAGUGGCAGUAACUUAAAAAAAAAUUUAAUAUAUAGCAUAAAUAUAAGUAAUUUAAAUUAAAUUUUAAUUAGGUUUAUUAUUAAGUUUAUAUAUGAUAUCAAUUAUUAUGUAAUAUAUGAUUGAUUUGGCUGUAAUAAAAAGGUAAAAUAACUCUUUUAGUCUUUAUUAUCUACAAUUUUGUGUCAGUUUGAUCCUUACUGAAAGUACAUAAACAAUUAAAAAAUGUUUUAAGAGUUAAAUGUUAUUUGUAUUUACGGUAAAAUAUAGAAACACAAAAAUUGUGAAAAAAAACUCUUUAAAAUUGAAAUAUAUAAAAAAUAUACAAAUUUCUAAAAAUUCAAAAGAUAAAUAUUAUUUACUUAAACUUAUCCAUGGCCGAGUCGUGGCUUGGUCCAAAAGAUUUCAAGCCUUGGCCUGUUUUUGUACCCUCCUGAUCCACUAAAAAAGUUCAUUUCACUGUUAAAAAUUAAUAAAAAUAAAAAUAUUUUUAUAUUAAUAACAUUUUUAUAUUUUAUAAUUAAAUUAAAAUUUAAAUUAUUUUAUUAAUAUAAAUUGAAUUCGAGCUAACUCAACCCGGGCAUAAAAAAUCGGGCAAAUUGCCCACCUCAUGGACAUAUCUAUUAAUUUACUCCAUGAAUAGUAAUAAAUUCUCCCGAUCCGUAUUAACUGAAAUUUGAAUAAUAUUUUUCAAUCAGAUUAAUUAUAUAUCAAAUAUAUUUUUAUGUAAAUUUAAUUAUAAAGUUUAUAAAAUAUUAGCAAAAAAUAAAAUAUAAAUAAUGAUAUACUCUAAACUGGCCCGAUUUGGACAAGGUUUUUAAUAUCCCGGGCUGGUUGAAAUUCAAUUUAGAUAUAAAAAAUAUUAUUAAAAAUUAAAAUUAAUUAUAAAAUACAAAAUACAAAAUAUUAAUAUAAAAAUAUAUUUUAAUAUUUUUAUUUCUAAACAAGAUUUUUGAGUGGACCGAGCCACGAGCUUGAAAGGUUUUCUGGACUCGGACAAUGGUUGACUCGGGCUGACCAUGGAUAGAUAUAAGUAAAUAAUAUAAAUUUUUUAAAUUUUUUUUGAAUAUUUAUAUUUUUUAUAUUUUUUAUUAUUUUUAAAAUUUUAAACAGUCGUUAAAUUUUCACAAUUUUUAUUGAAAUUACAAAAAAAAUUGAAGUUUUGAAACAUUUUUUAAACAAUUAAAAAUUGGUUAUGUAGUUUUAAAGAGUUAAAAGACUCAAUUGAUACAAAAUUAUAAAAAAUAAAAGCAAAAAGAGUUAUUAUUGUAACUUCUUGUUUAGCAACCAAAUCAACCAUUUUAAUAACAAAACUAACAAAGGACGGCACAUUUAGGCUUUGAUUUUUGAUCUUCGGCCAUCCUGGUCCUCAGGACCCAACACAAUAUUAUUGUUCUUAGAUAUUUCCUUUAAAAUUAAAAGAUGCAAAAGGUGUUGAUACGUCCUAUUCACAUAGAAAGCUUACCCUCUUCCACACAUUACCGGUGGCUGCUGCAGCCGCUAUCACUUUGGCUGCAGGAGGGGAAUGGUUAAGUGAAACUCUCGACGUCUUGUUUGGUAAACGGGACGCUUGAAACACGCAUCUAUUCCACCAUAGUAGUCACACAGUGUAUACUUUUUCUUCCAGCUAAAUAUAUGAAUUCUUUGCCUAUAUCUCAAAGAACUUCGAAUCAAGACGUGGAGUGAUGAGAACCUCAAGAGGUGUUGCUUUUGGAUUUGUUAACCCAGGGCUUUCCGUCAUAUCUACAUCUUCCAGCUCUGAUAAUUUCGCAACUUUGAAACUGUGCAAGAAGCUGCCCAAGAUAAAGUGCAGCAUCUUGAGGGCUAGUGACACCCCAGGGCACGAUCUUCGUCCUGAGCCAAAUGGGAUGAGUUCAAAAGUUUGGCCUUGAAAAUCCAUAUCCUUAUUGGUGGUCAAAAAUCUCUCGGGCUGAAAAUCAUGGGGUUCUGGCCAUACACGCUCGUCACGUUGAAUCUUCCAGGCAUUUACCAUCAGUCGUGUACCAGAUGGAAUGCGGUAGCCUGUUGAGAGAGUGCAAUCUUCCGAUGCAGCCCGAAGGCUAAUGACUGGCUCUGGUGGGUAUAAGCGCAAUGUUUCCUUGACAAUGGCUUGAAGGUAGACCAUGUUUCUAACAUCAGAUUCUUCCAACAGUCUGUGCUUGCCGACGUGCAUGUCUAGCUCAUCCUGGGCCCUUUUUAGCACGUGCGGAUUAUUUAAUAGCAAAGACAAGGCCCAAGUGAGAGUGACCAUGGUUGUGUCACUCCCUGCUAAGACUAAAUUCUGCCAGAACAAGAUAUAGUUAUUAGAAUUGGUUUUUCUUAAGAUCCCAUUUUCACAAAUAGAUGAAUGUGAUUAGGAACUAUAAAAAGGACAGCUUUGACAUUUGUGUAAUGAACAAGAUUAAUUUGGUAGGGUGUUGAGAGUUCUUACCAAGCAAGUAGCCUUGUUGAUUGUAUCGGCGUCGUAACAAGUAAUGUUGGCGUCUUCCAGGAUGUUGAGCAUCACAUCCAUGAAAUCCUGCUCUUUUAUCACCCCUCCACACAUGAGCCUCUUUUGUUUAUGCUCCUCCAGCCACCCUCCUACAAUACUGUCCAAUUCUUUUGCUGUUCUUUUCAUGGCUUUCUCAUAUCCUAGGAAAUCCAACCAUCUAAGAAAUGGUAUUGCAUCAGACAACACGAACACUCCGAACAGAUGAACAAAAUCUCUCAUUACUUUCUCGCAUCUUCGUGCUUCAGCUUCCUCACAAUCAGCGUUUGGUCCGAAGUAUCUUUUUCCCCCAACCAUUCUCAAAGCAAUAUUAUGAGUUAGAUCCCCAAACCACUGCUUCAUAUCCACGGAUACUCCACUUCCUCCAUUACCUUUGCUAAGCCAUGACUUGUACAAUUCUCUUAUUGCACUCUUUACCUCUGAAACUCGUAUAUGUUUGAGCAUAUCAAUCCGGUGGUUAGAUAGAAGCUCAAUCGUAGUUAUCUUGCGAAUCUCACGCCAGUAAGGUCCAUAAGGAGCAAACCCGAACAUAGCAAAAUCAUAGCCUAGAAUCUUUGAAGCAG
rnacentral:lncRNA from 1 species